rnacentral:rRNA from 1 species
GGAGUCUAACAUGUGCGCGAGUCAUUGGGACCGUACUAAACCUAAAGGCAUAAUGAAAGUGAAUGUCGGCCGCCUCGGCGGUCGGCAGAGGGGAGAUGGCGGCCGUCCGCAGCGUCGCGCCGCCCGCAUCCCCGGGGCGUCUCGUUGUCAUUGCGACACAGCAGGCGCACCCAGAGCGUACACGUUGGGACCCGAAAGAUGGUGAACUAUGCCUGGUCAGGUCGAAGUCAGGGGAAACCCUGAUGGAGGACCGUAGCGAUUCUGACGUGCAAAUCGAUCGUCAGAGCUGGGUAUAGGGGCGAAAGACUAAUCGAACCAUCUAGUAGCUGGUUCCCUCCGAAGUUUCCCUCAGGAUAGCUGGCACUCGGAGUACGAAUGCGAAUGCGUCGGCCGCGCGGUUCGCCGUGCGCGCCGGUCGCGAACACCAGUCUCAUCUGGUAAAGCGAAUGAUUAGAGGCCUUGGGGCCGAAACGACCUCAACCUAUUCUCAAACUUUAAAUGGGUGAGACAUUCGACUUGCUUAAAUGCUAUGUCGUUGAAGUCGAAGCCAUGCAGGAUGAAAGAGUGCCAAGUGGGCCAAUUUUG